UACGUAGGUGGCAAGCGUUGUCCGGAUUUACUGGGUGUAAAGGGCGUGCAGCCGGGAGUGCAAGUCAGAUGUGAAAUCCCGCGGCUCAACCGCGGAACUGCAUUUGAAACUGUGCUUCUUGAGUGCUGGAGAGGCAGACGGAAUUCCUAGUGUAGCGGUGAAAUGCGUAGAUAUUAGGGGGAACACCAGUGGCGAAGGCGGUCUGCUGGACAGUAACUGACGGUGAGGCGCGAAAGCGUGGGGAGCAAACAGG
rnacentral:rRNA from 1 species